GGUCGAGCGGAUAAAGGUGUCCGCAUUCGAGAUAAAUAAAGCUUCUGGGGCGGGAAGCU
rnacentral:ncRNA from 1 species